rnacentral:rRNA from 1 species
UACGUAGGGGGCGAGCGUUGUCCGGAAUUACUGGGCGUAAAGCGCGCGCAGGUGGUCUGUUAAGUCAGAUGUCAAAGUUCGGGGCUCAACCCCGUAUCGCAUUUGAAACUGGCAGACUUGAGUGCAGGAGAGGAAAGUGGAAUUCCUAGUGUAGCGGUGAAAUGCGUAGAUAUUAGGAGGAACACCAGUGGCGAAGGCGACUUUCUGGACUGCAACUGACGCUGAGGCGCGAAAGCUAGGGGAGCAAACAGG